GUGCUCGCUUCACCAGCAUAUAUACUAAAAUUGGAACGAUACAGAGAUUAGCAUGGCCCCCACGCAAGGAUGACACACAAAUUCGUGAAGCGUCCCAUAUUUUU
ensembl:snRNA U6 U6 spliceosomal RNA